GAACGCACAUUGCGCCCGCCAGUAUUCUGGCGGGCAUGCCUGUUCGAGCGUCAUUUCAACCCUCAAGCCCCCGGGCUUGGUGUUGGGGCUCGGCCCGUCCCUAGCGGCGCGCCGUCCCCGAAAUCUAGUGGCGGUCACGCUGUACUCCUCUGCGUAGUAAUCUAACCUCGCAACGGGACAAAGCGCGGCCACGCCGUUAAACCCCCAACUUCUGAAGGUUGACCUCGGAUCAGGUAGGAAUACCCGCUGAACUUAAG
rnacentral:misc_RNA from 1 species